rnacentral:rRNA from 1 species
AUUGAACGCUGGCGGCAUGCUUUACACAUGCAAGUCGAACGGUAACAGGCCGCAAGGUGCUGACGAGUGGCGAACGGGUGAGUAAUGCAUCGGAACGUGCCCAGUCGUGGGGGAUAACUACUCGAAAGAGUAGCUAAUACCGCAUACGAUCUAUGGAUGAAAGCGGGGGACCGUAAGGCCUCGCGCGCUUGGAGCGGCCGAUGUCAGAUUAGGUAGUUGGUGGGGUAAAGGCUCACCAAGCCAACGAUCUGUAGCUGGUCUGAGAGGACGACCAGCCACACUGGGACUGAGACACGGCCCAGACUCCUAAGGGAGGCAGCAGUGGGGAAUUUUGGACAAUGGGCGCAAGCCUGAUCCAGCAAUGCCGCGUGCAGGAAGAAGGCCUUCGGGUUGUAAAAUGCUUUUGUACGGAACGAAACGGCUCUGGUUAAUACCCGGGGCUAAUGACGGUACCGUAAGAAUAAGCACCGGCUAACUACGUG